AUUGAACGCUGGCGGCAGGCCUAACACAUGCAAGUCGAACGAGUGGCGGACGGGUGAGUAAUGUCUGGGAAACUGCCUGAUGGAGGGGGAUCACUACUGGAAACGGUAGCUAAUACCGCAUACCAUCGGAUGUGCCCAGAUGGGAUUAGCUAGUAGGUGGGGUAAUGGCUCACCCAGGAGACGAUCCCUUGCUGAGCUGAGAGGAUGACCAGCCACACUGGAACUGAGACACGGUCCAGACUCCGACGGGAGGCAGCAGUGGGGAAUAUUGGACAAUGGGAGCAAGCCUGAUGCAGCCAUGCCGCGUGUAUGAAGAAGGCCUGCGGGUUGUAAAGUACUUUAAGCGGGGAGGCGUUACCAGCAGAAGAAGCACCGGCUAACUCCGUGCCAGCAGCCGCGGUAAUUC
rnacentral:rRNA from 1 species